GCGCGCGUGCUAGACCGAGCUGGCUAAGUGGAGCGACCGUUGAAGAAUAGGGCGACAUUUUUUUAGGUCGGCGAGCAAGGAUAUAUGUAACGAGAAAAGACGAAUCCACCUACUGGCCACCCGGAGAUAAGGAACGCCCGGUCAAAGUGUCACACGUAGACCACACACCCAGCGCACGGAGAAGCCACUUUUCGGACGCCCCGCACGGGACCGGGGACCUGUGGUUAGCGAAAGCGGGAGCUCGGGGCACAAGAGGAGCUCAAGGGGAAGCGGAGAGUGGAGGAAGUAGGUGCCGGCCAGCACUCUCUCUCGGCCGCCUUCGUCCCCGGUCUAGUUCUUCCUCCCACAACCGCUGGAUCCACGUCCGGCGGCCGCACCCAGACCGCCCGCACCGCCGGCCACCCCAAGACCGCCCGAACCGCCGGCUGCCGCUAGACCGCCCGCACCGACCUCGAUCUUCCCGUCGUCAUCGGACACCCCACCGGUGGCCUGGCUGUCGCUGAAGUUACCUCCCCUUGCCAGGCCGUCCGCGUACGUCCGCCCUCUUUGACCCCCGCGAGCAGCCAACCCUUCUACCGCUGGUGAACUCGAAGAGCUAGACCUGUCCCGGUGAUGUCGUGUUCGUUCCCCACCCGCGCUCGUUGUUAUACCUCGGUGUGUGCAGAUGUCGGGUAUGUAUCUACUGUCCGGACGUUCCUUUCCUCGUCUUCUUUUGUACCUUCAUUGCUAGUUUCUUCUUCUCAAUCUACGACGAAACUACCAUUUGUAUACGAAAUAAGACCCUUCGUAUACAAGAACCACGAAUUAUCGAAACGUAAUUGGAAGUUCCAAACGGAAGGGUUAAAAUAGAGUAGCAGAAACUAGGUCAAUCACGGGUCGAAGAAGACGAGAACCACUUUAUAGUUAUCUACCUUCAGUCGGAUCCGUAUACACAUGAUUAAAUCCUAUAAAGCUUAAACCCCAAUCAAGUAUCAUCUCGAACGAAACGUGAUACAUAGAUGGGCGGAAGUUGUGAUACCAGACAGACGACCCUACAAAACUGUUCGUGUGAUAUGAGGGGACCCUUCAAAAAAACGAGACGAAACUCCCGUACAACUUAAGACUCACUGAAGUAACUCGUAUAGUCCUCUAACUAUCUAUCACGCUCUCGACCAUUCUAAUAAUCCUUCAAUUUAUUAAAAUGUCGUAAUUAGACUUAGAGUAUGAGUGUGUACUUACCACAGCCAAGGAUUGUAAAUCGUAAAGAUGCUAAACGGGAAAAAUUGAUAUAGGUUUUACGUCUCUUCGCUCAAAAUAAAAGGUCCUCGAGAAUACAACGUCGACUAUGAUAAAAUAAGGGAAGUAGUAAAUACUCCAGUCAUGAUUAAAGUGAAGGAGGGAGAAGAUACUAAUUAGGUGGUACGGCUAUACGAAGUACUGCUGGUACGAAAACGGUAGGGAGUGGGAGAGUCCAAUCUUAAUGGGGGGAGAGUAAAAGAGUACACACAGACGAGUCAAACUAUUUUUUUACAGAUGAUUCUUUUUAAAGAUUACAUAUAAAGUGAGUUGUUGUUUCUUACACGGAUUACACACACUACUGGAUUUUUUUACACACACACACAAACGAGUUUCUUGUUAUAUACGAGUACACACAGUCAGUCGUUAACGGGACAAUAGACUUUGGAUUACGAUUUGACCUGUGGUUGAUUACGUCUAUUUAGCUCUCGUUGUGGUCGGAUUUGAAGUAGACUAGAGCUUUUUUCCCUUAUAUUUGGUCGAUCUGGUAGAUGGGUCCGGUAGUAGAAGAAUAAAAAGUGCGGAACCUAUCAUAUAGAACUUUACCAUGACAAGUACGGUUUAAAUAAAUAAAUAAAAUUGGAAUACCUACGUUUAUAAAAAACUAUAUAAUCACCAGUUUCAAUAUUACAAAUUAAUUAUGUAGAUCGCGACUAUGUAUAAGUGGUGUAUACUUAAUGAAUAAACUGACAAAUCGAUUUACGUAACAACAAACGUAAAACUCUUCCCACUACAAGACUAAACACGACUAUAAGUAGAAAGAAAGAAAGAUUUCUAUAAGCUCUUUCUUCUAUCAUCCUGUUCCGAUUUCCCCUUGAUACCAAUUUUCGAAAGAAAGAAAACAACACUGGACAGAAUGGACCAAGACGAACUAUACAAUGAUUCGGCCCUAGUACAUCAUUGAUAUAAAUUAAUUUUAAAUCCAGUCACCCUCGGAGAGGGUGACAGAAAGUGACCAGUUUUUUUCGAACCUAGCACAUUAGAAGAUUGGAAGUGAUUAGAAAGUACGUAUUCGUCUCAACGCAGGUAUCACCUCCGCGUUUAGUUCUUCCAACUGACUCCUCUACUCCAACCCACGGCUCGUGUACCGUACUACUUCCACGUCCGGACACAAAAAAACCUACCGUCGCCGUAUGAUGAAGUUACUUAUUCUAUAGUACGGAAACAAAAAAACGAGACGAAACGAAAAAUUUUCUUUAUAUUUAUUCUAUAGUAUUUGACUAUAGUACGGAAACAAAACCGGAUAUUUGGAUGGUAUGUUACAUUAUAUAUUACGAUACAUACUAGUAGUAUGUGUUUAUAGAUAAAGGAACACAAAGUCUCUAAGAUACUAGCCAGAUAUUUAUAACAAUGAACGUACCAAACUCACAAACCAAGUGAGAGCGGAAAACGCGGUAACCGUAUUAUCCAUAAGAGUACUUUGAAACAAUAGGGAACUAAUAUUUUCAGUUUAGCUCAAAUAUAGGUAUAAACAAAGAGCUAAUAAGUAGGAAGUCAACCUAAUUUCAAAAAGAUAACAAACGUUCACUUUGAAUGAACUACAUGGAAACCAUACGACUAUAUAUUAUUGAGCUACAUGGAAACCAUACGACUAUAGACUAUCGUUUCAUUAAGUCUUACGUCCAUGAGGGGGAGAGGGGAAACACGGGAGAGAGAAGAGGUUGGGGAGAAAGGACAAUGUGUGUCGGUAACCCCGUCGUAUAGUAUACUUAGGUUUCAAUUAGUGCACGAAGAACGGGGAGAGAGAGAGGGAGAGAAGUGUACAUGAGAGCACCUAAAUCAGUCUAAACUAAAUAAGAACAAAGGAAAGGUCUAAAUUAAAGUAGGAACAAAGGUUCGAGAAGGAUAAGUAUUAGAUAAUUAAUUACUGAACAUGUAUGCAUAAAAUAGUACAGAUGAUUAUUAGAGUAGUGUAAUGUCAAGUAUGUAGUCAAAUAAAAUAGAACAAAGGAAGUUCAUGCAUAAAUCCGACAAGUAAAAGGGAAAAAGUCUACAUACGGUACAUACACAUCGGUACCAAGACUUUGUGGUGGUAAGGAAGAGAAGGAUAGUUAAAAGAAACUAAGUCAAUAAACUGAUUUACUAUUAUAUACGGGGUCCCAAUUAAUCAUGGAUUUUACGAUGGAAACCAAACAGUUUUUCUAGAUCUCACCGAAGACGUCGAGGACAAUACAAAGUAACUAAGUCAGUACAUCAUCCUAUCAAGGUGACCUAAAAUGAUUUACCAAAACAUCGAAAUGAAUCACUUUUACGGAGUUAACCAAAGACGUUGUAACGAACAGAUAACCGUCGACCUCGUAUGAACCAUGUACUCGGAACGGCACUCACCACCACGUUGCCACUGGAGCUGCUCGUCCCGUUACCGGUCUGUGCUCAUUCCGUGGUUUCUACUGACCUUCGUGAGUUUUUUCAAAUGGUGCGACCUCGAUACAGUCCAACAUGCUCCCGUCAAUUACUUAUAUGAACGCUGGGAAAAUGAGAGUCUGAGAGGAGGAAAAGAGCGACGACUUGGGGACGGUGGUAGUACAGGUCUGACCGACAGAGGUACCAACACCGCGGUUCCAGUGGCGUAGAAUGUAGGACUACGUACACACAAUCCAACUUCGUACUCCGACCUUAUGUUCCACACAAUCCAACUUCGUACUCCGACCUUACCCAGAACACGCUCCUGAUCGCAAACGAAAUCAGUUUGGUUUUAUGAAGAUUUUAACGUCGACGUGAACAACCAGACUACAUGUACUCUUCGGGGUUAAAACAACCGUUAUCUACGUACCAAAGAGUCAUUAAUUUUAUUGAAUUAAAAAAUAUAUUACAUACCAUCAGUACACAGACUACAAGAAGCACAUAGCCAUGCCAAGGGUACAAACUACAAAAAAUGAAAGCGUUUUAACCAGCUACGACUACUCUUACCGUGGCCACCAGAAGCUGUUAAUAUAAAAAAUACAUAUAUUAUAAGGGUUAAAAUAACAAAAUGAGAGAAACCAAGUUAUUCUAAUUCUAUGUAUGAAACGGAACACGACUUAGACUACAGUAAGUCUAAGAUCCUAAAAAUCCUACCCAACGUUCAAAGAGAACAACCUGCAAAAGAAACAAAGAAUUAAAAAAACACUAUUCUACCCACUAAGACAAAGAUGGAGUUUGAACGGAAAGAUACAAAGUCAAAGUUCUUCUGUAAUAAACUACAAUCUACCGGUAAUACAAGCAAGGUACACCUGUCUCCUGAUUACCAUGAGAAGGUACUUCUCUUCGUUCACCUAGUCAUACAUCAUCAUCCAUAGUUACAAAAGAGUAUGACUACUAAGACUUCAUUAAUCUAACUCUUUUUAACGAAAUAAGGGGUUAAAGAGAGACUUUGGAAACGGAACAGGUAUCAGUAUGGAUUUACUCAAUGAAAUAAAGGAUAUCGAGAUAAUGAAAAAAAGGAUCUUGGACAGAGAAAUCAGGGGAAAUGUUAUGGUACUAGUCCUCCGUUCUUUUUACACACUUACCUUAUUC
rnacentral:rRNA from 1 species